GGGAGAGAGAGAGAGAGAGAGACAUAGCUUGUGGUGGACUGUAGUCUUUGCUAAUUUUACCUUCACUAUUAGAAUAAAAUAAAACCUAAGUAACCUCUGUUAAUGUAAAUGAGAUGAAUAGAGUCUUUUAUUUUGCUUUCAAAAUUGCCUAUCUUUAAUAAGACAAAGCCUUAAGCCUUAUAAUUUUGCCUCAAAAAAAAAAAAAUUCAGUGUGUAGAGUGAGUAUGCUCUCAGUCUUUCCCAUUUUUUUCUUGUUUUUUUUUUUUGAAAAAUUCCUAAACUUGCUUUGAAUUUCUUAUACAAAUUUUGUUUCUUGAAAGUUAAUUUGUGUGAAAUGAGAUACUUCAAAACUAUAAUCUUCAUUGUUGCAAGUAAUGGUUUUGAGGUUUUAAAUUCUAAGUAAACUGUGACCAUGGCUGACUACCCAUUUUUUAUACAGUCUUCUCUUUAUUAACCACAGGCAGAUUAACCUCAGUGUGGAUUGUCCUUGAGACCUGAACCCUCAGGGAUGGCUUCCGGUGCCCACUCCAGUCCUGACAGCCACGGAAGGAAGAGCUGUUCUUUCUGCCUUCUUCCCAGAGCCGAAGGACAAGCUUGUCUGGGGGACAUUGGUCACCUGCAAAGACAGCACUUGCAACUGAGGAGUGUGGCCUCAGUAAGGAGCCAGCCUCACCAGCCAGGGCCUCCCUCCCUGAAGCUGCCCGGGGACUGCCAUUCCCACUGUUGCAGACUGUGGCCAGGCUUCCUCAUCUGAUGCUUAGUUUUAGUUCCCAAGCUUUUACGAACUCCGAAAAUAGGGGAGCAACUGGAGGUCAUGGUUUAGGGGUGUUUGAGUGAUAGUGUGGCAAUGCAGGGCAAUGUAAAGAAAGGGGCAGGCAUGGGAGUGAGGGACACAUGCCCUGCCUGCUCCGCAGCUCUUCUGCAGCCCAAUAUGGCUGCUGUGUGGAUACAGCAGUUAGGGUUUUUUUUUUUUAUCACCCUUUAAAAGUUAUUUUCUGUCCUUACCCUCUAACAAUUCCCUUCAUAAUAAGUUCACAUGUAAUGAUUGGAAAUUCUGUACAGAGAAACAAAACAUUAAAAUACUGUUAGAGCCAGUUCACAUGCUGGGAAACAUUAAAAGUAGUCUAAAUUAGGUUUUUUUGCAGAAACCUUUUGUAACAAACAGUAUGUCGUAAUGUAACUCCAGCAGCAAGCUUUGCUUGUAUUUAGUCAAGUCAGCUUGGAAAUGCGGCCUUGGGGCCCACUGCAUUCUCAGUCCAGCACAUCUAGUAGCAGUGUGGCGGAAACACUUUUAUGGCAACAUGGAGCAGUAUUAGAUUUUAUGUAGCUGACAAUGCAGUAUUAAAGCUCAGUAUUUUGCAUAUUUUUAGCAUUUACAAAUAUUUUUGCUUUAGUGUGAGAAAAGGAAAGAAAGACAGAAGGCAGUUGAAUAGUUAUUAUUGUGACAUUAAACAAAAAAUAAGCUGGGUAAUAUGUCCAUUAAAAGCUAAACCUCUAAAAUGCCUGUCAGAGUGUGUGCUGUUCUGGUAGGCCAGCAGCAUGGAUGAGAAGACAAAAGGAUGUGUCUGAGCUAAAGCGAUCCUGCACAGGAGUGUUGUAUUUUUAUGAAUUUUAUGCCCCUUGUUUACAUGUACUAUAUAUGUUAAAUAAAAAAAAAAAACAUG
rnacentral:lncRNA from 1 species